rnacentral:lncRNA from 1 species
GCCUCUCGGCUGCGGAGGCUGUUCCCUGGGCUCCGCAGCCGGGUCUGGGGCCAGCGUGGCCGACUGAACCGAGGUGCCGUCGGGUGUGCGCUUCACUCGGCUGGGUCCCGGGCCUGCGGGUCGCGAACUCGGUAGGUCUGAGUUCUGUGACUCCUUUCUGUUGGUGAUGGGGUCCGUGCGAGGGGAGAUUACCAGAAGAAAGCCUGGGACCCCACUUCACAGGCAGCCCGCUAAGAUUUGCUUGUGGGAUCACCCGAGCUCCUACUGUGCCCCCCACAAGCCUUCCUGCUUAACUACUGAAGAGUUUGCUGUCACCCUGACCUUCCAUUAGCGCUUCCCAUUACACUGCAAUUAAUAAGGUCACCUGGAACGACGACUCAUUUCCCUGUGGUUUGAAAUGGCCGAAAGAAUGCCAAGAGGCGGCGCACAAAUAAAUGGUGGCUGAAUCUAUCAGCUAAAGGAAGUGCCAACUAGAAGAGAGAAUGACCACUGGAGGCUUUAGGAUGCUCUCUCUAUCAUCUGCUCUUCCUCUUCUAACAGUGUGUAGCAGCCCUAGUGUUUGGUUAGUUCAGGGAUGACAUACUACAGUGUAUACAAGCAGUGAGGUUUGGGGCUUCUGUUUAAUGUUUUGACUUAGUGAUGAUUUUUUUUUUUUUUUUCACUUUGGAUAUAAUUGAAGAAACAUACAUCUCUGAUUCCUGCUGGCAGAUUUGCCACCAUAAUAGAAAGUAGCCGGAGGACAAAAUUGAUAGGAGGAAAAAGACAGGGCCGAGACCAUCACAUUGAGUCAAUAAUUCCUUUUACUAAGUGAGACAGUGGGCUUCAGGGUUUGCUGUUACUUGUAACAGUGUACAAAAUAUUUGGGGAAGGAUUUUUCCAAAGUGGGGAAAAAAAUCUCUCAAUAAUGAGAUGGCUUGAGAAAAUGACCAUAAAGUUGGACUUUGUGCAGUGUGUAAGAUGAGUAACUUCCUUAUGAGACUAGAAAAAUAAUCUCAAAACCAUAAUUUGGAAAACUGACUCCUAAGAGUUGCAAAAAUUUUUAAUGUUUUCAUGGUAGCAAAAGCUGUUAAAGAAGAGUGAAUAAAUUGUUUGGCAGAAAGUAUUCAAUAGCCUUAGGGAAAAAUUGGAACUUGUUCUCCCUUUAUCUGCACAAGUAUGUUGCCUUUUAUGUAGUAGGCACUACCUGAAUACUUAAUUUAAUCUAUUAACUAUUUGACAUAGAAAAAAAUCAGAAGAACAGAAUUCUGACUCUUCCAUUGACACGGGAUAAAGAAGUACAAGUAUAUAACCUAGAGGUUCCUAUAUCCAGACACAGGAAAAACAACAAAACAGCAGUACCUAGAAUCAACUGAAAGGGCCCUCCCACAAGGUCACUUACCUUCCCUCCUGCCUAUGAAUCCUUCCUGACCUCUUAGUUGAGUUUGAGUUUUCCAUUCCCAAAAGAAACCAGGUAGGAUGGUCACUUAGAUGUCUUUCCAACGGAGUCAUAAAAAUUUGAGUCCCUUACUUGUCAAGUUCUCCUGCAUAUUGGUGCAAAUGGGCUUAUAUUCCCUUUUCAGAUAGACCUCUGCCCAAAUCUAAAUUACUUUUAUUUAUUUUUAUGUAGUGCUGAGGAUCGAACCCAGCACCUUGCAUGUGCUAGGCAAGCACUCUACCACUGAGCCACAACCCCAGCUCCCUAAAUCACUUUUUAAAGCAGAAGAACAGAGAGAAUAGAGGAGGAAGGAGGAAUCCAUGGGGCAGAAAGAAAGAGUGGCUUCAUAUCAGUAAACAAGACAUGUUACAUUUUUUUUAGAGCUGAGUGGUGACUGUUUGGGGACCAACCAAAUAAGCUUCUAAUGUCCAUGACCUGUUAAAAUCUCUAUUAUCCUCAUUUGUAAUACCAUAUAUUUUAGUUGUACAACAUCCUGAAUAGUUCACGUAAAAAUCUGAAGGUUUCUCUGCUUGGAAAAAUGUACAAAAAUGUGAGAAUUCCGGGCAGAAUUGGUUUUAACAAUGUGUAUCCUGUGACCUUGCUAAACUCACUUAUUAGUUGUAGGACAUUUUUGUGGGAGAUUUUUCUCUUGGAUUUUCUUUUUUACCAUCAUACCUGGUUUCUUGUGGAGAUCAAAAACUGAUUCAACUGACAGAAAGGGUCAGAAUGGAGGAAGGAAGCCAAAGUGAUCUUGUGGGAGGGCCCUAUCAGUUGACUCAGUGUCCUGUUGCUUUGUAGAUUUUCCUGUAUCUGAAGGUUAUUAUUGUUAAUCAUGUAAUCUGUGAAGAGGGACAAUUGUACUUAUUCCUUUUCAAUAGGGAUGUCUUUUUUUAUAGCAUAGGCUUACACUUCCAGUACUGUGUUGAAUGGGAGGGUAAGCAUACAUUCUUGCCUUGAUCUAAUCUCUGGAGAAAAGCAGUCUUUCACCGUUGAUUAUGUUAGUUGUAGGGUUUUGUGUGUGUGUGCCCUUUUAUGAACCCCAUGAAUCUUCAAUUUAAGCACCCUUAUGUCUUUCAUGAAAAUUAAGUGCAGGAAUGGUGAAAAAUGUUUUGCUCAGUCUACACUCCUGAAAAUGCUUCUAUUUUUAUCAUACUCCCUUUGAUGCACUAUGUGACUUACUCCUACUUUUUUGUACUCUUAGGUGAUGUUCUCAUUAUAUAUAAGUCUUUUUUUUUUUUUUUUUUUGGUAUCAGGGAUUAAACCCAAGGGUGUUCAACCACGGAACCAUAUCUCCAGCCCCCUCCUUUUAAAUUUUGAUACAGGGUCUUGUUAAGUUGCUUAGGGCCUCACUAAGUUAUUGAGGCUGGCUUUGAACUUGCAGUUCUCUUGCCUCAGCCUCCUGAGCCAUUGGGAUUACAGAAUGAGCCACCAUGCCCAUCUACACAUGAGCCUUUGAAGUGUCACUCUAAAAGUUUUGGUCUUAUAUAGACCCCUUGCUCCACUGUGGUAACAUGGCCAGGGAGAUGGCCAUAUCCUUUCAUUUAUCUGUCUGUCUACCCAUUCAUCCAGCCAUAGCUAUCUAUCUGGUUUGUGUUUUUAUAUUCAUAUACACAUGCGAAUAGUUCAUAGGUAAUGGAAUUCCAUUAAGAGAUGUACAAAAUCUGUCAUCUUAUGAUGUUGGCAGUGAUUGAUGAUCAUUUCUUGGAUCCAUUAAUUCAUUAGGAGUUACAAACAUGUACACCCAUGUGUAUUCAUCAUAUAACUUCAAUAAUUGACAACAUGUGACCAUGCUUGUUUUGCUUCUAUCCAUAUCUACUACUCCUCUAAUUUUCCAUAUUAUUUUGAAAUAAGCCUAAGAAAUUAUUCACGUACACAUAGAAAAGUAGAACAACAGCAUUGUCACACAAAUAAUGGUAAGGUUAUUUCGUUGUUGUUCUUCAGUACUGGAGAUUGAUUGAAGUCAGGGCUAUGCCAGGUAGCAUUUUAUCCCUGAGCUACAUCUGCAGCCCUUUUUAAAAAUUUUGAGACAUGACUUCAGUAAAAUGCCAUUUUUGCCUUGAGCUUGUAAUCCUCAUGCUUCAACCUCUGAGUAGCAAAUAACAGUGAAUUCUUAAUAUUACUACAUACCAAAUCAGUGUUUAUAUUUGCCAGAUUUUCUUAACACAUUUUUAGAGUUGAUGAUGAUUAUUAUUAUUAUUAUUAUUAUUUUGGAUACUGGAGACUGAACUCAGGGGCAUUUAACCACUGAGCCACAUCCCCAGCCCUUUUUAUAUUUUAUUUAGAGACAGGAUCUUGCUAAGUUGCUGAGAUUGGCUUUGAACUCACAAUCCUUCUGCCUCAGCCUCUCAAGCCACUGGGAUUACAGUUGUGUAUCAUGGGUGCCUGGCAGAGUUGGUUGUUUGAUUCAGAUUUUAAGAAGGCCUGUACAUUGCAAUUGAAUUCACCUAAGUCUUCAAUCAGAAGGUUCCCCCUCUGUCUACUUUUCCUUGCAGUUCUUAAAGCCAUUGAGUCAUUUUUCCUGAAGAGUUUCUUACAGUUGGGUUUUGCUGAUUGAAUCCCUGUGUUCUCAUUUAUCAUUCUCUUUGUCUAUGUUUUCUAUAAAUUACUAGUUAAAUUUAAAGAUUUGAUCAAACUCUGGUUUGUAUUUUUAUAUGCAUACACACAUGUGAAUAGUUCAUAGGUAAUGUAAUUCCAUUAAGAGAUGUACAAAAUCUGUCCAAUCUUGUGAUGUUGGCAGUGAUUGAUGAUCAUUUCUUGGAUCCAUUAAUACAUUAGGAGUUAAAAAAUGGUGAUAUUAUGAUUCUAUUGUUGUUUAUUAGCUGAGGUACUGUUUUGAUUAUUUAUUUUUAAUUUUUAAUUAAUUUUUAAAAAGUAAAUGAUGGCAGAAUGCAUUACAAUUCUUAUUACAUAUAUACAGCACAAUUUUUCAUAUCUCUGGUUGUAUAUAAAAUAUGUUGACAACAAUUCGUGUCUUCAUACUUGUACUUUGAAUAAUGAUGUCUAUCACAUUCCACCAUCCUUGCUAAUCCCCUGCCCCCUCUCUUUCCCUCCCAGCCCUCUUCCCUAUGUAGAAUUCAUCUAUUCCUCCCAUGCUCCCUCUCCCUACCGUACUAUGAGUCAUUCUCCUUAUAUCAGAGAAAACACUUGGCAUUUGUGGGAUUGGCUAACUUCACUUAGCAUUAUCUUCUCUAGUGCCAUCCGUUUACCUGCAAAUGCCAUGAUUUUUUUAAAAAGAGAGAGAGAGAGAGAGAAUUUUUUUAAUAUUUAUUUUUUUUUUUUAGUUUUCGGCAGACACAACAUCUUUAUUUGUAUGUGGUGCUGAGGAUCGAACCCAGGCCACAUGCACGCCAGGAGAGCGCGCUACUGCUUGAGCCACAUCCCUAGCCCAGUGCCAUGAUUUUAUUCUCUUUAUUGCUGAGUAAUAUUCCAUUGUGUAUAUAUGCUACAUUUUUUUAAUCCAUUCAUCUACUGAAGGGCAUCUAGGUUGGUUCCACAGUUUAGCUAUUGUGAAUUGUGCUGCUGUAAACAUUGAUGUGGCUGUGUCCCUGUAGGAUGCUGUUUUUAAAUCCUUGGGUAUAGUCCAAGGAGAGGGAUAGCUGGGUCAAAUGGUGGUUCCAUUCCCAGAUUUCCAAGGAAUCUCCAUCUGCUUUCCAUAUUGGCUGCACCAAUUUGCAGUCACACCAGCAAUGUAUGAGUGCAUCUUUUCCCCCACAUUCUCGCCAACACUUAUUGUUGUUUGUGAGGUACUUUUUUUAAAAAAGAUUUUUUAGUUGUGGUUGGACACAAUACCUUUUACUUAUUUAUUUAUUUUUUAAAGAGAGAGAGAGAGAAUUUUUUAAUAUUUAUUUUUUAGUUUUCGGUGGACACAACAUCUUUAUUUUAUUUUUAUGUGGUAUUGAGAAUCAAACCCAGCGCCCCGCACUUGCUAGGUGAGUACUCUACUGCUGAGCCACAACCCCAGCACAAGCAGAGGUACUCUUUUUAAAAAUAUUUUUUUUUAGUUGUGGAUAGACACAAUAUCUUUUUUUUUUUUUUUUAAUGUGGUGCUGAGGAUUGAAUCCAGUGCCUCACAUGUUAGAGGCAAGAGCUGUAUCACUGAGCAACUGCCUCAGCCCUGAUAUACUUCUUCAAGAAGAAAUUUCCCUUCACUUAACAUUUUUAGUCUCAUAAGUUCAAUGUUUGAGUCUCACUAUACUUACUAGUUUUCAAAGCAGUGGAUUUUAAAAUAAUCCUCCUAAAGUGACCAAUUAUUUUUUUCCUAGAAUCAGCCAUGGAUCUAAAAAUAUUUGAAGAAUUUCAGUCUAUUGUAGCUCUUACCUUUCCCAUUGUUCAGAUUGUCCCAUUUUUGGCUUUUGGGAAAGAUCCUCUUUACUUUGGUUCCGGAGUUGACGGUGUUCUUUCACAUAGACCUUUAACUCCCAAGAUUAGAUGGAACCUUAGAUGUUGCUGCUUUAACCUCCAUUCUUUUCUACUGAAGCUCAUUUCUGCUCAUCAAAGAGCCCUAAUUAUGUAUUUACAACUAGCUUCCUUAUUGUGCUAAUUGAAAUGAUUCAUCAUGUUGUCCCAACAUUAGCAAUCAUUCCUUGACUGGGUUUAGAAUAUUUUUAAGCAUUUUUGCUUUAACCUGACAGGUUCAGAUAAAGCAAUUAAAGCACAUAUAUACAGACUGGGCUGAAUUGGAAAUUUAUUCAGCACUGAUAAAUUUAUGUAUCCCACUGUUUUCAACUUUAAUUUCUCAGUCUCUUCCAAUUUUAUUCCUUAUAAUUGAGGGGAAGCAGCAUCAUCUGUAAGACUGAAGAAGAAAAUCAUUGUUGCUGCCCCCCAACUUAGCUCUUCUGUUCACUGCUUCUGAGGUGAGUGGUGAUAGGAAAAAUCAAAAUGCUUUGAUUUUUUGAAGUUUCUCUACAGUGGACCAAGGAACACAGUGAAGUUGGAGUAAACAGUGUGCACGAGUGUGUGUGUGUGUGUACACAUAUAUGUAAAAUCUAUAAUGUGUUUUAGCAUGUAUGUGUAUAAAAUAUAUUCAUACACAAGAUCUCUAAGAAAUCCCAAGUAUAUGCUACUUUUUUAUGGCCCAAAUUGUUUCACUCUACUGCCAAAGGAACUUAGGGUAGAUUCCUAUUUUGAUGAGCAACUUGAAAUCACUUGCAAUAAAAGAGCCAGUUAAGUAGGUUUUGUGUUCAUCCCAAACCUGUAAAAGUUUCUUAAACCCAGUCAGAAACCGCUACAUUCUAGGAUUGCAGCUCCAUGAAUUACUCCAGAACUGAUGUUCUCACAGAACUCUGUCUUUUUCACACUUGAAGCCUAAGAGAGCCUUUUUUUCUUUUGUCCUUCCUCCCCUCAUCCACUCCUCCCUUGCAUUGGCUUGAGUAAAGCUGUCCAUGAGUUGCUAUGGCAGGCAGAGCAGCACCUUCUGGGGGGUCCCUGGGAGAUGAGGGUCCAUGUACUCCUAACACCCCAACUGCCUCACAACCACUCUGUUUCACCACAACUUCACCAUCAAGUUGUUAUUGUACAGGGAUUUUUUUUCCUCUGAAAUGGUGGAGGCAGGCAUAAUGUCCUUGACCAUGGGAUGGCCUCUUUGUUCUUUUUUUUUUAUUUUUAAGAAAGUCUUUUAGUUGUAGAUGGACACAAUAUAUUUAUUUAUUUAUUUAUUUAUUUUUUAAUGUGGUGUUGAGGAUCGAAGCCAAUGCUUCACACAUGCUAGGCGAGCGAUCUACUACUGAGCCACAACUACAGCCCGCUGUUGUUGUUCUUAAGGAAAAAAAAAUCUUGGGACUAGGUUGUAGCUCAGUGGUAGAGUACUUGCCUAGCACAUGUGAGGCACUGGGUUCAAUCCUCAGCACCACAUUAAAAAAUAAAUAAAUAAAUAAAACAAAGGUAUUAUGUCCCUCUACAACUAAAGAAUAUUUUAAAAAUCUUGUAUUUCUUACCUUACUAGUUUAUGGUGAGUGCAGAAAUCUCCUAAAAGUAUUUAUUAUCUUUUGUACUUUAAAGAAUAUUUACAAAUUGUGAGCAUUCUGAGAUGUCCCAAUAUUCUUAAACCAAUUGCAAAGAGCUUAUUUUGAUUUUAGAAAAAAAUCUUUAUAUUUCACAUCCUGUGGACUGCAGAUUAGUUCAUGUUUUUAGAAUGUAUGGUAGCUUGAUGAGUCAAUUCAUGACUUGUUCAAUGAGUAUGUUCUUUUCCAAUUUUAAAAGUAACACAGGUUCAUUGAAGAAUAUCAGGAAAAUCUCAAAAAGAAAAUAAAAAUCACCUUGAACUUAUUAUAGAAGCAGAAAAUAGGGACAAUGAGUUUGUCAAUAUUAUGUGCUGUGUUACUGCAUACAUUGUAUACCAGAUGGAGACUGCUUUAUGUUAACUAUCACUCACUCCUCCCAUAAUAUAAAUUGAGGAUAUUACAAGGCCCUGCCCAUGUAAAACUAUCUACCAGUUGGGCGUGGUGCCACCAUUCCAUUAAAAUGCACCUAUUGCUGGACACAGUGAUACAACCUGUAAUCCCAGCAACUUUGGAGGCAGAGGCAGAAGAAUCACAAUUUCAAAGCCAGCUUCAACAACUUAGUGAGGCCCUAAGCAGUUUAGUAAGACCAUGUCUCAAAAUAAAAAAUAAAAAGGACUGGUGAUGUGGCUCAUUGGUUAAGAGCCCCUGGGUUCAAUCUGUAGUACAAAAAAAAAAAAAAAAAAAAAAUCUGUUGCUUAGUGAGGGGCCAGCGAGACAUCCGAUCUUUUUUCUUUAUUGUUAGUAUAGUGGUAAACUUUAUUUAGAAAAUUCAAUCCUUGGCUCUUUUCAAUUUCAGUUAUAACUCAACAUUGGCCUGGAAGAAGUACAUUAUUAAUGACCAGUGUGGCUAAAACCCACAUCACAUAUUUCAGUUGAUUUUUUUUUUUUUUUUGGUAGGAGAUUGAACCCAGAGGUGCUUUAAUACUCACAUCCCAGCCCUUUUUAUUUUUAUUUUGCCACCAUGCCUAGCUCAAUUUACUUUUAAUAUAUAUAAUGCUUAGAAUAGAAGUGGGUAUAGUUAUUCUGCUAUAACCCUUUGCUCUUUAUACCUCAUAAGAAACUGAGGCCAGAAUUUAUGGUACUUGCUAAAGGUCCUAAAGUAGUCAGUAGCAGAGAUAGUACCAGAACUAAGGAUUUCUGACCCUCAGUACAAUGCUAUCUUUUUCAUGACAAAAAAAAAAAAAAAAUUAGCUAUCAGGUAUUAUACUAUAGAGUCACAUGAACAUGCUCCUGCCAACACACAUUAUGUUUUAAUUUCUUAAGUAAAAUAGUAUAACAAUUUUGAACACAAAUGUCCAUGAUUCUUUUAAAUUUUUUUUUAGUUGUACAUGGAUGCAAUACUUUUAUUUAUUUAUUUAUUUUUAUGUGAUGCUAAAGAUCAAACCCAGUGCCUCAUGCAUGCUAGGCAAGCACUCUACCACUGAGCUACUACCCCAGUCCAAUGUCCAUGAUUCUUAUAUGUUCAUAGUGGUAAAUUCUGAUUUCUACUUUAAGUCAGGAUGGGCUUCUUUGUGUUCAUUGUAUCAGGUUAAAGGAUUAUUAGUUUUCUAAGGCUUCUAUAAGAAAUCACCAUAGAUUUAAAUCACUAGUAGUUUAGAUCACAGAUAUUAUUGUUCUGGAGACCAAAAGCCCAAAGCACUUGGCAGACAGGGUUUGUUCAGAGACUCUGAGGGAAGGAUCUGUCCUUGGCUUAGAAAUGGGUAUCUUCCCGUAUGCCAAAUUUAUGUAUUUCUGUAGCCAAAUCUCUCCCCUUUUCUCCCAGUUAUAUUGGAUCAGGGUCCAUCUGUUGAACAUAUAAUAACUUCCCUCUGUAAAGACUCCAUUUCCAAAUUAGGUCAUGUUCAGCAUAUGCUGUGAGUUAGAGAUUAAAAUAAUGUACCCCAUAGAAAUUUUAUCCUAAAAAGGCAUAUAAAACCAAUUCUAAGGCUAAGAUUCAGAAAAAUAUGCCUCUAAGCAAACAGAGAUGAUGAUGCCAAAGAGCAGCAGUGGUAAUGCCUGAAUGGUUUGGGGCAAAAUAAGAAGCUGUCAGAGGCAGGACCAGGAGCAAACUGCUGGUUGUUGGCCCCAGUGGAAGGUCUUUCUUCCUACUCUAUAAUCCACUUAGUCCUCAGAUUUAAGAGAAAAGUUGCAAAAACAAUAAAGGACUGUACACCUUUUACCCAAAUUAACAAUAUGCUUUAUCAUUCUUGCUCAGUGUCUGAAUAACAUACAUUUUUUUUCUAAAAUAUGGAGAGCAAAUUGUAGACAUCAUGUUCGUUUAUCCCUAAAUACUUCAGUACAUUUCCUCAAAAUAAGAAAAUACUUUACAUAAUCAUAAUAAUUAAAAUCAGAAAAUCAACAUUGAUACUAUUAGUAUUCAAUCUACAGACUAUUAAAAUGCCACCCACUGUCCCACCAAUGUGCUAUAUCAUAAUCCAAAGUCCUAGUGGUGGUUUACAAGGCCCUACAUGGUCCACCUCCCAGUUACCUCUCCAGAUUUAACUCUUAUCUCUUCUCCUGCCCAUCCUCCCUUGCUGCUCUUUCUGCUGGAUGACUUUUCCUCAGGUGCUUUCCUUGCUCACCCCACACCUCCUUCAAGGCUUUCCUGAAAUGUCAUCUCCUCAAGGCUUUCCUUGAGCAUCCUACUUAGUAUUUCAAUGCUACCUUACUCCUUGCAUUCUCUAUUUCACUGGUUUGUAUAUUUUUUAAAAUAUUUUUUAGACAUUGAUGGGCCCUUAUUUUGUUCAUUUAUUUAUAUGUGGUGCUGAGAAUCAAAAUCAGUGCCUCACACAUGCUAGGCAAGCACUCUACCACUGAGCCACAACCCCAGCUCCAUGGUUUGUGUAUUUUUAAGCCUUGGUCCACAAUAUUGAAUACAUUUAUUUGACAUCAUUACUCAAGUAUGCACACAAGUAUACACACAUAUGUAAAAAACUGAAACAAAAAAUUCCAAAACAAAGCUUACUAUUGCCAUGUGCAAGCACUUGAUGUUUUCUUUUAAAAAAAUUUAUUUUGAUUAGUUAUACAUGACAGUAGAUGCAUUGUGAUACAUUGUACACAAAUGGAGCAUAACUUCUCAUUCCUCUGGCCCUACAUGGUGCUGAGUCACACCAGUAGUGUAAUCAUACAAGUAUAUAGGAUAAUAAUGUCUGUCAUUCUACCGUCCUUCCCAUCCCCACUCCCCUACCCCUCCUCUCACUCCCCUCUGCACAAUCCAAAGUUCCUUCAAUCUUCCCUACCCACCACCCUACUAGGGAUCAGCAUCUGCUUAUCAGAGAAAACAUUUGGCCUUUGGUUUUUUCGGAUUGGCUUAUUUCGCUUAGCAUGAUAUUCCCUAGUUCAGCGCUUGAUGUCUUCUAUGGUGUAAAAUAGAUCAAUAAGAGAAAGUAUUCCUGUCAUUUUUUUGUUCAUGGUAACAACUCCAGGGCCUAGGACAAUGCUUGGCAUAAAAUAGAAUUUAGUAAAUAUUUGUUGACUGAACUAAAUCAAUAAUAGGCUAGAAUGGAAAGUAGUGGCAUGAGGUGUAAGUAGGUUAGCAAUACAUUCAUGGCUUUGAAUGGAGGAAAGAAGCACCUCUUUUGAUAGAAAUGAGAUUGCUCAGCUGGUGAAUAGACAGGGAGCUGGGAGCUGAAGGAAUCUGGGAUUACAGUGUUGCUACUGGAGUAGGCUGGGACCCUCAAAAUUAAUACUGUAGGAACAAACAUCUGUGUAGGCUGGCCUUUCUUUUCUGUUUUAUGUGUUUUCCUUAUUUAUUAAAAAAAUUUUGGGGGGGAGAUUUUUCCUUAGCUGUAAUUAGGAGACACAAUGGACAAGUUUUGGUAACUGAGCCAGUUCUGAGAAGGGAUGGAGCAAGUCCUUGGGAGCACUGUGGUUGUGGCAGUGAGAAGGAGAGUGAGGAAUCCUUAUAGGAAAAGGGGAACUUGGGUACAGGACUUUGGAUCUCUUGGUCAAUUUAUUUUUUUAUUUUUGGAGAGCCUUACUCUAGGGCUAAAACCUGGGGAGCUGUGUUAUACCUUAACUAUUUCUCAGAUGACAUAUUUUCUUGGGCUUUCAUAUUCAGGCCCUUUGUAGUUUCACAUAUUGAAAAUCUUUCUUUUAUUUUUAAAUUUUUAUUCAACUCAUAGCAGCCAGAAAACAGAGAGAGAGAGAGAGAGAGAGAGAGAGAGAACGAGUAAGCGAGAGCGUGCGCAAUUGAGCGAGGAAGGGCAGGGAAGGGUCCAAAACAAGAUAUAGUCUCAAGGGCAUGCCCCCCCCCCCCCCAACAUACUUCCUCCAAUCAUGCCCCACCUGCCUUCAGUUUCCACCACCACUUAGUAGUACAUCCGCUAUCAAUGGAUUAAUCCACUGAUGAAGUCAGACCCUUUACCGUCUAAUCCCUUCUCCAAAGCCCCUCCUGUGAACACAUGAGCCUUGGUGGGACACUACAGAUCCAUAUCGUAGUAGUGUGCCCUUAUCAGCUCCAGGCUGAUCUGGGACAUGCUCAAGUUUAAGACCUUUGUUAAAGAAGAGGUGUUAGGUGUGUCUAGGAUCCCAGCACAGUCUGUCCUCAGGCAGGAGCCAUUGAGAGUGGUCCCUGGUAGUACUGGAGCUGGAUUGAAGGAAUUUCAGGUCUGUUGCCCAGGCCUGUUCUGGGUAGUGGGGGUUGUCCUACUCAGUCCCCAUAAAUAUCACUGACUAUCCCUCUGUCUCUGUCCCACCAGAGCUUAAGAUCCCUAAAGACACCAAUAUGUUCUAUGCCAUGAACUCUAUCACCACCUAUGAUUUCAUCUUGAAAAAGUAGACCUUCACUUAGUGGCUAAAUGUCCAGCACAGAGCCAGCUUGAGGUAAAGGUGGCUCAAGAUAGCCAAGGGCAUCUUCUAAGAACAUCUACUUGGGGUCUGCCUGGCUAAUGGUCAAACACUUUCAGACUAGAGUAACCAAGUUAAGCACGCUUCUUUUGCCCACAUGGCAGCCCAGAAUAUAGUUUGACCCAUAUAUAUCCUCCCCUGAUGUGGUUUUAACUAACCCCUGCUAUUCAGCAGGCUGAACUGGCCUCCCUGGACCACUCACUGCCUAGGUGCCUUUUGCCCUCUGGAACCAGAGGACUAGCUGCUUGUUGCUAAGAAGUGCUGCCAAUGGGCAUGACAUCCUGCCUGCCUCAGGUACUGGCCUCCCUGCACAUUUCUAAUACCUCCCUAUGUGAUAGUCACUGCCUGGGAUGACCUUUCCAGGUGUAGUUCACUGCCCUUGGGCAACCCAAAGUACCCCACCCAGCAGCUCUGACUCCUGCUGCAGUUCUCUCCUGGUGCCCUCAGACACUGGCCUGGGAACUUCCCUGGCUCUUCUCCCCUCCUCUUACUACUAUGGACUGCUUUCUCCAUCUCCACCAAAGAUUCCCUCCUCAUGAAUGUCUCACCCAUCUAUGCCCAGACUUCCCCAGGAGCAAAGAGAGAAUCCUUUUUAGGGACCAUACUCCUUAACUGCCCUUGAGGACAGCACCAAUGUUGAAUCUCAUGCCAUAGAAAGUGCCAUUCACCACUGCGUCCUAGGCUUUAUGCAGAUGGGCUUUACCCACAGGAGACUGAGGGUUUCAGAGGGAAUGAUGAUUUAGAGAGCAACUAAAUAUUUGCAUGAAAAGCAAAAUAAAUGUUUACUGAUAUGCAUGGGGCAAUAUUUGUUGUAAAUAGUAAAUGUUAGACUUGAUUAUUAUAUUAAAAUCCUGUUUCUACUACAGCAUACUCAUUGUGGGUUUUUUUCCCUUGUUUCAAUUAGAGAACUCACAGGAUUCUCAAUUUAUUUUGUACACUAGUGGAAAGGACCAGCCGCCCUUCUCAAGGUGAAGGACUGUGCAUGUCCACCUCACAUGAAGCAAGUGUUUAUUUUAGUAUGAUUUAACUGACAUGCUGAGAUGCGCUGAGAACUCCUGGGAUUAGAGUUUGGAGGGGCUUUCACAGAGCAUGGAACAAUCUCUGAGAGGCCUGAGAAUCAUUGGUGGCUUAAAGGCCACAUGGUUGUCCCAGAAGUCAUCAUGGGGACAUCCUUGAUCUUGGCACUUUUGUCAAAUACGAACUAAUCAUAGUCAUAUAAAUUUAUGUCUGGAUGCAAGAUUCCUCUCGAUUAAUCCUCAUGUCAGUACCACACUGUCUUGACUACUGUAGCCUUGAAAAAGUAAGUUUGGAAAUCAGGAAAUAACUUUGAACUUCAUUCUUUACAAAAUUGUUUUAGCUAUUAUGUUUCCCUUGCAUUCCCAUAUGAAUUUUGGGAAUGAUUUUUCAAUUUCUGCACAGAAAGAAAAAAAGAUAGUUGGGAUUUGUUACAGGGGUUGCAUUGAAUCUAUAGGUUAAUUUAGGAACCAGUGGCAUCUUAACAAGUCUUUCAGUCAUUAUGUAUGGAAUGUUAGGUCUAGUUGGUUUACAAAUUUGCUCAAAUCAACAGUAUCUUUGCUGAUCUUGUAUUCAUUAUUGAAAAGGGACUGAAGUCUCCAACUACUAUAGUUCAUUUCUCUUUGAUUCUGUCAGGUUUUGCUCCAUGUAUGUUGGGGCUCUGUUUUUAGGUGUAUUCAUGUUAUAAAUUAUUUUGUUCAUCUUUUUUCAUUGUAUAGUGCCCUCCUUUGUCUUUUCAUGAAUAAAUUUUGGCUUAAAUUCUAUUUUUCCUGUAGUUUCAUUUAUAUGAAAUACUUAUAAGAGACCAAUUCAUAAAGCCAGAGUAGAUUAGAGGUUACCAGGGACAGAGGGGAGAGGGAAAUGGGGAAUUAUUUUUUAAUCAUUGCAGAAUUUCUCUUUGGGGUGAAGAAAAGUUUUAGAAAUACAGGAGGUAGUUGUACAAUAUUAUGAAUGUAAUUAAUGCUGCCUUACUGUACAUUUAAAAAAGGGUUAAAACAGCAACUUUUGGCUAGACUUUGAUAUCAACAUAGUCACUCUAGCUUUCCUUUGGCUAUUUAUUAGCAUGGAGUAAUUUUUUUUUGUUCAGUUUCUGUUACUGUCCUCUUUUGUGUUGUCAAUAUUUUCUAAUGUAUCAUUUUCUUUCCCUUGUCAUUUCUUUUACUACAUAUAUAAUAAAAUGUACUAUAUAAUACAUAAUGUGUAUUGUUACAUUAUAUACAGCAAUAUGUAUCACUACUUAUUAUACUAUAUACAUAUUAACAUUGUAUUAAACUAUCUUAAAGUUCACUGUUUCUUCCCCUUCUGCUUGCUCAAAUCUACUUUUGAGCUCCUCUGGUGAAUUUUUCAUUUUAGUUACUAUAUGGUUCAACUUUCAGAAUUUCUGCCUGAUUCUUUUUUAUACUUUGUUUUUACUAAUGUCCUCCAAAAUUGUCACCUUUAUUCCUUUAUGCAUGCUUUAUUUCAGAUCUUUGAACAUGUAUAAAAUCAAUUAUUUCACUGCUUUGUCUAGUAAGUCCAACAUCUGGGUUUCCUCAAGGACAGUUUUUUUUUCCUUUUCUAUUUUAGUUUUAAAAAAUUUCAGUGCAUUAUCAUUAUACAUAAUAGUGGGAUUUACUGUUAUGCAUGAACACAACAUAAUAAAUAAAUUAAUAGAUUUAAUAAAUUAAUUUUAUUGCUCCCUUUUCAGUCCCCUCCUCCCUUCUUCUGGUCCCCUUCCUCUGCUAGUCUCGCUUCUGUUUUCAGAGGAUCCUUCCUUGCAGUGUUUUUUCCUGUGUUCUCUAGCUUUCAUAUAUGAGAGAAAACAUACUCUCUUUGAAUUUGUGAGUUUGGCUUCUUUUACUUAACAUAAUGCUCUUAUGUUUUUUCAGGGCAGUUUCUAUUGAUUACUUUUAGCCAUAGUUUCUCUGCAUACUUGGCAAUUUUUGUUGAAAAUUGAACAUUUUGUAUGUUGUAUGUUGAUGUGUGCAAAUCGGGCUCUCCCUUUCCCCAGGAGUUGUAGUUGACUCUGUAGUUGGUGUUUCUUUUUCUUUUCUUUUGGUGCUAGGAAUUGAACCUAGGAAGGCUUAACCACUGAACCACAUCUGCAGCCUUUUUUAAAAUAUGUAUAUAGUUUUUACUUGUUGAUAGACCUUUAUUUUACUUAUUUAUACGUGGUGCUGAGAAUGGAACCCAGUGCCUCACCCAUGCCAAGCAAGUGUGCCACCACUGAGUCUCAGCCUCAACCCUCAUUCCCAGCCUUUUAAUUAUUAUUAUUAUUAUUUUUUUAUAUUGAUGAUAAUGCUUUGGUAAUACUGGUAAAAGAAACUAUAGAGAGAAAAAGAAAAACUCCCCAAAUAACCAGAAGUUGUUUUCACAUAGAGGCUACCUGACUAUCUUAAGCCUCUGCUCUGGAUUCGUCCGUCAUUCUGCAGCAGCCCUCAUCCAUCAGGUGUUAAGAACCAGAGAUGGCAGAGGAAGGGAGGGGACCCUGUGUCUAGCCUAAGGAGGUGAGCUGCAGGACCAAAGACAGGGGUCCAGUGGCAGCAGUGUGCUGGCAACAGGGCGAUGUCAGCAGGAAUAGCCUAGAGUCACUGCUUCCCUGCAAGGACCUCCGUGCUCCCUGUGCCUUGUCACUCUCGAGUCCUCCAGUGACUCCAGGAGGCGUGGGAAAAGCACUCACGUUGCACUGACGGGGAGACUGAGGCCUUGAGAACAUGCCCCCUCUGCUCAGCAGAGGGGGCAGAGCCAGGAUUUGAACCUAAAGCCUGAGAGACCUGUUGGGGCCUCGUGGACAAGGAGGCUACACCCAGCUGCCAGGGGAGGGACUUCUGGGCUCUGUAGUUCCUACGAGAACUGUUGGACCUGUUGACAAGAUAGAAGCCCCAUUCUUUCUGCUUGGAGGCUGGUCCCAGAAUUGGGAGAGUUGAGGGCAUACACCCCUUCCCUAUCCCACACCCAGCCCAGGUAGCAGGGUUGGCCCUGUCCCCCAAGUUCAGUGAGAGCUCCCAGCUAGGAGGUUUAGGCCUAAGGGCCAGCCAGAACCCUUGAGAUCCAGAGAGACCUCAAUGAAGAGAGGCAUUUAAGAAGGCCCCUAUCUCCAGAACGAGAGAUGAGGGUCUUUGUCCUGCUCAGCCUUUUUAGCUGGGACCCCAGAAUUGCUCUAGACCUUGGAUUUCCGAUCUGUUAAGUGAAACAAACAAACAAACAACCGGUUGGUCUGAUGGGUUGUUGCGCAAAUAACUAAGAAAUAACUUGUGAGACACUUGCUCUAUGUCAGGCCUCUGUAUGGAGCCACCUGCCAGGUAGUCAUAAGGGCCCAGGAUCUUGAAGUCCCUCCAUGGAUAGCCCUUUCUACUGGGUGAUCCCAGGACAUUCAGAAGUAUUUAUGGAGGAGUGAUGAAGACUCAGCAUGACACCAUGUCACAGGUGAAGGACUCGGAAGGGCAGGUGGACACGCUCUGUGCCUACUGUAUGGGUCCUGUGCUUAGGAAUUCUGCUCCUGGGCUCCAGACAUCCAGUUAUUCAUCCAUUCAUCCACUCAUUCAUUUCCCAAUGCAGCCAACACUCACUGGCCCCCAGCAUGUGCCCAGCACUGUGGCUUCCUCAGUGAGCCUGACACCCCCAGGUCUUGGCCCUUGUGGAGCUCACAACCACUGGGUGACCUGAAAGGGCAUGGCUCUAGGGAUGGGGGCUCCAGGAUAAUCAGCCACUUCAUUAAAACUUGUCUGUAUUUGAAAGAAAUAAGGGAAAAAAAGACUUGCUUGGUACUUUAUCAUGCAAAAUGAAAUAAAGGCAUGAAAAAUUUCUUGGCUUGUGCAGGACUCUGUGCUUAGACUAAGGAUGACUCCUGGAUCAUGGUGGGUUCUGUGUGGGUUGGGCUGUGGUCUGUGAACCCAUGUGGCUUCCUGAAUAACCAGGGCAAAAAGAAGCACAGGAAGGUACAGGAUGCACAGAGGAGCUGGGCCGGCCUGGAGCCCUCCAAGUCCUGUCUUUCCCCCCCACAUUAUUUUAUUGGUGAAGCCUGUCUUUUUAAAAGACCACUAUGAGGGCUGGGGAUGUGGCUCGCCUAGCAUGCGUGAGGCACUGGGUUCGAUUCUCAGCACCACAUAAAAAGAAUAAAAUAAAGAUACUGUGUCUACCUAAAACUAAACUAAAAAAAAAAAAAAAAAAAGACCACUCUGUAGGGAAGUUAUUCAGUGUUCUGUUCUGACACAUACCACAUAACCCCAGUACAUCAAACACAGGAUAUGUAGCUUAGGGGAAGCCAGGAGAGACCAAGAGUCCCCCACCAGGGAUUCAGGAGCCACAGCUUGACUUGUACUUAAGGAUCCCAUCUCCUCUUUUCAUAGUGUGGAAACUGGGGUUUUGUUCAAGGUCAUCUAGCAAAUCAGGGACAGAGCCCUGGGCAAAUGGACAGAGACUUGGGGUCUAUCUUUGCUACCUAAACUGAGGGUCUGUCACUGCCCAUACUGAUGUUCCAAAAAUCAGUGUCUGGGUCUGAGUUGAGAUUUGCACAGAGAUCUGCAUGUCACCCAGGAGGAUGCUGGUUCUUUAUCCAAAUAGAAGUUUCUUCCCAGGACAAGGAAAGUGAGGCCCACACAGUGAGCUACAGAGCCUGCCUCCACCCUGCCCAGCCCCCUCUACCUCAGUUCCAUGGCUGGGAAAGCUUCACAUGCUCCCCUCCCCAUGCAGAUGAGAGGCCUGAGGAGUCCUGCCACCUUGAUCACCCAAGGUGUCCAGACUUGCCUGACCAUGGAGUCCCUUACUGUUGUGAAAUGCUCAGGCAUUCUCUGACAUCCAGAGAAGGCCACAGUUGGGGACCAACUGUGGAGGGUAUGUGCAUGGUUUAGAAGCCCGAGCAUUGGGCUUGAAAUCAAUGGCUCCCAGCCCAGCUCUGCCACUAAGCAGAAGGGGGACCUCAGGUAGUGCUCUGAAAGAACAUCACCGUUGUUCCCUCCAUUGACCCACACUUCAGCUCUCUGAGGCUGCUAGUGGGAAAGAACUCCUUUGUCCAUCUUGUCUAUCUUCACCAUGGGAACUAGGGAUGGAUUUCCUCCCAUGUCCGUUUUACAAAUGAAAAAGCAGACAGAGGAACUAGACAAAGGAACCCACCACACAGGGACAUAGGGUAGAAUGCCUACUAAUAUCAAGUGUGAAUCAGCCAGUGGCCCUGUUCCUUUUGGGGCUGUGGCAAGGCAGCACAUCAUGGUGGAGGAAGCCUUUUAGCCUCAUGGUCAGUGUACAAGAGAGACACAGGGAGAGGAAGGGGCUGAGGUCCCACAGUCCCCUUUAAGGGCUUGUCCCAAUGGUCAAAGACUUCCCACUAGGCCCCACCUCUUCAUUUCUACCAGCUCCCGGUGGCAUCAUGUUGGGGGAGAGGACUUUAACAGAUGGGUCUUUGGGGACACUUAUCUAAAGCACAGCAUCAUGGAUCGCACAUCCCCUCAACCACAGACCUUACUCUGGUUUGCCCUGGAUCACGGGACAAGAACUUGUGCAUAACUGGCCCAUCCAAGCAGCUGCUCUGAACUGAGCUCAGGCCACAUGCCAGCGAUCUGCACGUCCUCCCUCAAUCCCCACAGGGCUGCUUUGCACUGAGUUUAUAUUUCUAGGCCUCCAGCAAAGAGCCCGGCACACUGAGGGCGCUUACCAUUUACUGAGUAAAUCAAUGAAGGAAUCCGCGACCCUAGGAAGUAAGUGGCCUUGUUUUGCAAAUGAGAAGCCUGAGAAACAACCCCAAAUCUUAGGUUUGCUCAUUCCUGCAUGCGUUCAGCACCUGUGUCUGCUCCCUGGUGGGUGCAGGCCCCUGGAAUACAGUGAUGAAUCCCUGACACAUCCCCUGUCUUCAGAGCUCACAGCCUGACAGGUGGAACACAUCACACCCACAAUCAGUAGUGGGGUCUUGGUCUGGGAUCCAGCUCCAGUGACCUGCUGCCUCCUCAGAAGAUACUUACGUAAUAUUAAGAGUUUUUACAUAGGUUUGUGCAUUUGCCGAGAGAGAGAGAGAGAGAGAGAGAGAGAGAGAAAGAGAACUGGCAAACUGGCACUGAGCUGUCCCCCUUUCCUCUCUAAUUCCUGUGUUUAGGUUGCUUUUGUUUCCCUUGGCCUCUGGACCCCUUGAACAUGUAAGAUUUCUGCCUAAGUCCCUAGCUCAAUUCAAGCACACCUCCUGUGUUUUCCCCAUCUUUCCUUUUCCUUCCAAAUUGUUGCUUGUUACACUUUCAAGGCAUGGGGGUCUUUUUGUCUUCAUCAUUCGUCAGCCCCUUCCUGGCCAGUAUAGUCAUAAGGCUAAAUUUGUCCUCCUCUACUUUAGGGGUAGGUGUAGGAUACAGGCUGGGCCUGCAAAGGGCUGUGGUCAGUAGGCAGUGUCCUGGGCCUGUCUGCCAGAGCUACAGGGUUAGGUGUGCCUUAUCUUGCACAUCUUUAUUACAGAACAGUUACUGGGGUGGUACCAGUGACCAUAAGGAAGACCAGGAACUUUGCAAACAUAAACUAAGUAAAGAAAAUUAAUGCGGUGUUUCCACAGGUCAUAACGAGCUAGGGUUUCUGUAAGAAAUGUAGGCACAUAUUUUUAAUCAGCACUUACCAGCUUCUGAGCCUCGGCAGACCCCCUACCCCUUUAAAAUAUUUGUCAGGUAAUCCUUAACCCAUGUCAUCUCUGAGCUCACAUCUCUCAUCUCAUUUAGUUUGAGAUAUUCUGCAGUAACUUGAAUGAAACUUCAAUUUUGUGUCUAGGUCUGAUUAAAUCUUGUGUUUCAGCAGCCUCCUCUGACACAGCUCUAGAGUGGGGCCUCUUUAUUGGCAAGUGUGAGUGGAAGUCUAUGUACCAGGCCUCCACAGAUAAUAUUAAGGUUGGGAUGAUGUGUUGUUAGUCAGCUUCCUGCUCCUGUGACAAAAUACCUGAGAUAAACAACUUAAUUAGGGAAAAGGCUUAACAGGCUCAUGGUUUGAGAGGUUUUAGUCAAUAGCUGGUUGGUUCCAUUACUUUUAGGCCUGUGGAAAAGCAGCACGUCAUGGCAGGGAGCAUAUCGUGGAGCACAGCUGCUCAUCUAAGGGAGGCUGGGAAGCAAAAAGAGAGGAAGAGAAGGGACCUGGAACCUAACAGUCGCUUUAAGGGUGCAACCUCAGUGCCCUUCCCCUAGGCUCCACCUACUAGGGGUUCUGCCACUUCCCAACAGUGCCAUGGGCUGGAAUCCGAGAGUUCGAUACAGAGGCAGUGUUUGGGGAACACUGAAGAUCCAGCAGGAGGGAAGGGUACCUUCCAGGUGGCUUGCAUGGGCAGACACCCUUGUUAGCACUGCUGAGUACUGCAAGUGCUGAUCAUCAAAAGCAACGCUCCCUUAGGCCUGCUCUGAAACCACCCUAAAAGGGUGAAAGGGCACCCCAGUGCUGUUGACUGGCGGUAAAGUCCAGGCUCUCCAGGUAGGCAGCACAGGGAGUAUCCAGCUCAGGUCUUCUAACCUCUGCUUCUGUUGGCCUUUCUGAUACCACCAUGGUGGGGCAUGGGAGGGGCUGAGGCGUCUUAUAACUGGGCAAGGGUCACCAGGCCCCACUUUGCUGGCAGUUUGGGGAUAAUAGCACUUAAGAUUUUAUACAUGAUGUUUGGUUGGAACGGAGUCAUUAUUGUUUAAGUGUUGCUUUUGGCUACAAAAAAUAAGAUUUUGUUAAAUUUUGUUUUUUACUGUGUUCAUUUACAUCCUGGAUCGCUGAUUUUUCCAGUUCCAAAUUUAGUAUGUAGGAAAUAAAAAAGAAAACUCAGGGAACUUACCACUUAUAUUAGCACCCCUAGUUGCUAUAACAAAAUACCAGAAAACUAGGGAACAAGAGAAAUUUAUUUCCUCACAUUCUGGAGUUUCGAAGUCUUAAGAUCAAAAUGUCAGCAGGGUGGGUUUCUCUUGAGGCCUCUGUCCAGCUUGAGAUGUCCAUUUCCUUGCUGUGUCCUCACAUGGUUUUCAUCUGUGUACGUCUCUGGUAUCUAAAUUUCCUCUUCUUAAAAGGACACGUCAUAUUGAAUUUGUCCCAUAAGUUCACCUUGAAGAUUUCAUUUUAGUUUAGUCACUUUUAAAGCCUUUUUCUCUGAAUAUGGUUGCAUUCCAAAGUUGUGGGGAUUAAGACUUAAACAUAGAAUUUUGGGGCAAUGUGGGCUGCAGUUGUAACAAGCUCAGUAGCAGAGCGCUUGCCUCACAUGUGUGAGGCACUGGGUUCGAUCCUCAGCACCACAUAAAAAAAUAAGUAAAUAAAAUAAAGAUAUUGUGUCCAUCUACAACUAAAAAGAUAUUAAAAAAAAAAAAAGAAAUUUGGGGCAACGUAAUUCAUCCCAUAAUACCACUAUGUCUUUCCUCAGGUCCUGAAGUCCCUAGGCAGUCGACCAUCUUCUAUUCACCUUCAGAAUCUUAUGUUUAUGUAUAAUGUCCAAAAUUUUUAUAGUACUUAAUUGGAAGAUUAGGAAAAGUAUGUCCACCUCAUUUUCUUGAAAAUGAAAGUCUCUUUGCAUUUUUUUUUCGAUUUGUUUUCUUAAAAAUUGACUGGUUAGUAAAACUCACUUACUAAUCUCUGGCUAGGAAAUGACAGAGCCAAAUAUUUUGACUCUUUCAUCCUGGGUCUCUAUAUCAGUUCACAUUAGUUUCACUUCAAAUAAAAUGUAUAUGAAAUAUAGAAACUCACAAUUCAACAAGUACCAACAUCUUGACUUUUAAAAAUAUUGAGUUUUUUAAUUAGCCUGUUUUCUAUUACUAUAACAAAAUAGCUGAGGCAAACUGACUAUAUAAGGAAAAGAGGUUCAUUUAGUUCACUGUUUUGGAGACUAAAGCCUAUGAUUAGGCAGUCCCAUAAGUUCAGCCUCUUGUGAGGGCCUAAUGACAUCAUGGCAUCACAAUGACAGAAUGCAUGUAGAAGGAAGAAAUCACAUCUUCUUAAUGUUUUUAAUUUUAUUUUUUUGUAGUUGUAGAUGGACACAAUACCUUUAUUUUAUUUAUCUUUAUGUGGGGCUGAAGAUCGAGCCCAGGGCCUCACAUGUGCUAGGCAAGUACUCUACCAAUGAGCUAUAUAACCCCAGCCUCAAGAAAUCACAUCUUGAAACAGGUAAUCAGAAACACAAUUCUGGGGCCUCACAAGAACUACCUUAAUUCUUUUUGAGGACAGCUUUCCAAAUGACCUAAGCCUCUCCAACCAGGACCCACCUCAUAAAGGUUCUACCAUUUCCCAAUACCACCACUCCAGUGACCAAGCCUCCAACACAUGAACCCUUGAGGGACAAACCACAUGCAAACCCUAGCAUUCUGUCCCUGACUCACAAGGUUCAUGGCAUUGUCAUGAUGCAAAAUGCCUUCAUUCUGUUCUCAGUUGUCCUACAAAGUCUAAACUAUUCCAGUACCACUCAAAAGCCUGAGUCUCUGGGCGCUGGUGGUGCAUGCCUCUAAUCCCAGUGGCUUGGGAGGCUGAGGCUGGAGGAUUGCAAGUUCAAAGCCAGCCUAACUUAGCGAGGCUUAAGCAACUCAGCAAGACCCUGUCUCCAAAUAAAAAAAUAAAAGGGGCAUGUGGCUCAGGGAUCUAGUACCCCUGGGUUCAAUGCACAAUACCGCCCCCCCCCCCCAAAAAAAAGGCUCAGGUCCAACUCUCAAGGAAAUUUUUUUUUUUUUCCAUCUAUUGAACCUCUAAAAGUCAAAGCCAAGUUACCUAUUCCAAGACCAAGUCAGGGACAGGACAAACACUGCUAUUCCAAAAAUAAGAAACAAGGAAGUAGAAAAGAGUAACUGAAACUCAGCAAGGCAGACAUUAAAUCCUAAACCUUCAACUCGGGCAUCUUCUGCAUUCUGUGGCAAAGGUGGGAGGUGCCCUCAAGGCCCCAGGCAGCCCCACACCUAUAGCUUUACUGGUCACAGGCCACAUGGUUUCUCUUUAGGGCUGCACAUUCUUGGGGAGUUUCACGGGUGAGGGUGGCAUAUUGCUGAUUGCUUUACAUCUCUGGGGAGUCCACGAGGCAUGCCCCACUUGAUGCUCCCCUGUAAGGACUUCUGCCUGGCCUCCUAGGCCUUCCUUUGAAAUCCCAGUGGAGCCUGCCAUGGCCGCAUGACUCUUGCAUGCGGUGUGCUGGCAGAACCAGUAACACGUACAGGUCAUGAAGGUCUGCUGCUGGCACAAGUGGUGCCUGGACCUGCUUGAGGCAUGGCUGCAGCAGCCACAGUGACAUUAUGCCAGGUCAGAAUCUAGGGAUGGCCCUGCACAGCAAGCAGGUGCAGGGACCUCAGGGCUCCAGGAAACAAUCUGCCCUUUCCAAACCUCUGGACUUGUGACGAGAAGGGCAGUUUUGCAGAUUUCUGAUUUGCCCUGGAGGAUUUUUUCCAAUUGUCCCAAUGGAAGCAACUGGCUCAUUUUUCUGCAGUUGAUCUGUUUAGAAAGCAGGUGCUCAGCUACACCUUUUUGUUUGUUCCGUCCCUGAUAAGGCAGUGAAUUUUCUAAAUCUUUCAGCUGUUUCCCUUUGCUCCAAAUCAACUGAAAGCAGCCCAAAACACUUAUGUAGCCCUUUCUAUAUUUGGUUUAGAAGUUUCUUCUACUAGAUAAACCACUCCACCACUUUUAAGUUCAUCCUCCUACAAAUUUUCAGGGCAUAAAUAAUCCAAAUUCUUUGCAACAGUACAACAAAGAUGGCCCUUCCCCAAUUCCUAACAGCAUCUCCAUUUCCAAGACCACUUCCCGAGUCUCUUCACUGCCUGAGCCCUUUGUCAGAACUGCUGUAAUGUUGCUAAGUCUUCUGGGUUUUUCCUGGUCUGCUCCUCCAAAUUCUUCCAGCCUCUGCUUGGCACCCAAUUCUAAAGCUGCUUUCAUGUUUUCACGUUGUUAUCGUAAGGCCCACUCCUUGGUACAGUUUUUUUGCAUGAGUCCAUUUUAUGUUGCAAAUAACAAUAUCACAGGCUGGGUAAGUUUUAAUGAAGAGUUAUUUUGGCUCAUAGUCGAGGUGCCAUUUCUGGUUAUAGCUUCUUGUGGGCAGAGUUGUCGUCCCAGAUAUCACAUGUGCAUCUUCUGAUCUCUCUUAUAAAACCACCAGCACUCGAUCCUGGGAGUUCCACUUCAGGUCCGGAUCUAACCCCAAUCACCUCCUAGGAGCCACUCUAAACAUCACAGUUGGAUUAAGUUCUGACCCUCCCAACAUCUCACAAUGGGGAUAACAUUUCAUCACAUAAACAUUUGGAAGACACGCUCAAACCACAUCCGAACCGUAAGAAGUUUCUUUUUGGUACCAGAGAUUGAACCCAGGGUGUGCUUACCCACUAAGCCACAUUCCCAGACUUUUUUUUUUUUGGUGGUGCUGGGGAUUGAACCCAUGUGCAUGCAAAGCAAGUACUCUACCAACUGAGCUACAUCCUCAGCCCUCUCAGACUGUUUUUAUUUUGAGGCAGGGGCUUGCUAAAUUGCUGAGGCUGGCUGGGAACUUGCAAUCCUCCCGCCUCAGCUUCUACUUUUUUCCCUUCCCACAGACGUGGAUAAAAAUGUCCCUUGUUCCCCAAGGUGACUAAGCUACAAAUAGGACAUUAUCAAGAGCCAUGUGUGUCAACCGUGGUGGUCAGAGCAGCGAAGCCCACUGCUGUCUGUGAAGCACCGUGCAUCACGCGGCAUCCUGUGGUGACAGUUCUGAGGAAAACGCAGUCUCAGCUCCCUGUCUAUCAAAGGCAACAAUCGACCACGAGAGAGGACACACAUACAGAAACAUUAAAACUCACAACGAUUCUGUCCUAGGAAAUGAAUGAGGGUUUCCACAAUCCCGACAGUCUUAUGAGGGCAAACUGACUGCUAGCAGUGAUCGGAACACCAUUUCACUCAACACAGCUGCUGGGUUCAGGGUGAAGUCAAGCUCACACAUAACCAGCACGACGGUCCAUCCAUCCAGGGCUGUGAGGUUACAGCUGGAGCUGGUGGGCUGUGUUCACUAUCCAGGAGGGAACACUUGAAAUCCAGUAUCUUCAGAGUGAUUUGGACCUUGCUUGAGCUACCAUGAUUGCCUCUGAAGUGACAGAUCAACCCAUAACAGUCUCUCCUCCCUGCCAGCCAUAAAUGACGCCUUUAAUCAGGAUCCACUUUCCAAAUGUGAGGGCAGCACUGUCUUGGUCUGGGAUGCCGUAACAAAAUAUAAUAGACUGGGUACUUUAGAAGCAGCAGGAAUUUACUGCUCAUAGUUCUGGGCUGAAAAGUUCAAGAUAAGGGUAAUGACAGACUUGGAGUCUGGUGAGGGUUCAUUUCCUGGUUCACAGAUGACACUUUCUCAUUCUAUCCCACUUGGCAGAGGGCGUAAACAAGCGCUGUUGGGCUUCUUUUACAACAUCACUAAUCCUGUUCAUGAAAGCUCCACCCUCCUGACCUCACUGCCGCAUCAACACCUCACCUCUUGGUACUAUUGCACUGGGGAUUAGGUUAACAUGUGAAUUUUAGGGAACAAAUAUUUGGACCACGGCAGCCGUCACCUGCCCACCUAUUCAUUCCUUUCCAGGCCUCCCAAUUCCACUCUCCUCUCUUCCCUGUGUAUGCACUGCUCAACUCAAAGCUCACAUUAUCUAAGUAAGCUCACACUACAUGUUUCCUUAAGGUGAAUUACAGAAAAAUCCUCUUUCAUUUCUUUUUCCCAUCCUGAAAAUAUUUUAUGAGAAUUUUAGGGAAGAAAACCAAAUAAAUGAAUCCCAUGUCUUAGCAAGUAACAAGGUUAAGAGAAUUCUGGACCCUGGGGCCUUUGGGUACUUCUGCCCAGCUUAACACCACAAAAAUCUGAGCCAACCCUACAUAAACUCUGGGUUCACCACUGGAUGUUCCAGUAAGUUUCACAACUCUGUUCAUCCUACCUCCAUAAAUGGUGUCUCACUUAAGUUUGGGUCAAAAUAAUGGGAAUCAAAAAUAAGAGACUGGGAUGUAGCUCAUCCUUAGCAUCCACAAGACCUUGAGUUCCUUCCCCAUCAACAACAACAACAAACGGCUGUGAGGGGCCUUGAUUCCUCUUUCUCUCUCACACCUCAUUCAAUCUACACCAGUCUUAGUUCCAGAAUCUUCUGGCAAAUUUACCAUGAUAAAGAAAACCACAGCAUCCUUGGCCACGUCCCAGAGACUCUGAUAAGAAAAACACACUCAAUUAAAAACAAAUCAUAAGAUGAUCUGAAGGACAGGUAAGUCUCUGAGGUAUCACAGGCUGCCCAUUUUUUAGAUGCUUUUGAUUUCUGUCCCGCCACCUGUUCAGGAUUUUGUUGCUUUUUUUUUUUUUUUUUGGUACCAGGGAUUGAACUCAGUGGCACUCAACCACUGAGCCACAUCCCCAGCCCUAUUUUGUAUUUUUUUUUAGAGACAGGGUCUCACUGAGUUGCUAGUGCCUCGCUUUUGCUGAGGCCGGCUUUGAACUUGUGAGUUUCCUGUCUCAGUCUCCAGAUCCACUAGGAUUACAGGUAUGCACCACUGUGCCUGGCAAACUUUGGAGAAUUUGAUUGCUUUUGGGGAUUAAGAAUGUAACAAAUAAAGUCUAUGUAAAUAUUCACAAAUUCAAAAAACUCUGAAAUUUGAAUCACUUCUGGUCCCAAGAUGAGGGACACACAAUCUCUAUUACACGCAUAGAUUCAGCCCAAACAGCACAGAAACGCUUUUAAUAUCUA